UAGGGAAUCUUCCACAAUGGACGCAAGUCUGAUGGAGCAACGCCGCGUGAGUGAAGAAGGUUUUCGGAUCGUAAAGCUCUGUUGUUGGUGAAGAAGGAUAGAGGCAGUAACUGGUCUUUAUUUGACGGUAAUCAACCAGAAAGUCACGGCUAAAUACGUGCUAGCAGCCGCGGUAAUACGUAGGUGGCAAGCGUUGUUCGGAUUUAUUGGGCGUAAAGCGAGCGCAGGCGGAAUGAUAAGUCUGAUGUGAAAGCCAACGGCUCAACCGUGGAACUGCAUCGGAAACUGUCAUUCUUGAGUGAAGAAGAGGAUAGUGGAAUUCCAUGUGUAGCGGUGGAAUGCGUAGAUAUAUGGAAGAACACCAGUGGCGAAGGCGGCUCUCUUGUCUGCAACUGACGCUGAGGCUCGAAAGCAUGGGUAGCGAACAGG
rnacentral:rRNA from 1 species